UACGGGGGGGGCAAGCGUUGUUCGGAAUUACUGGGCGUAAAGGGCGCGUAGGCGGCCUUCUAAGUCGGACGUGAAAUCCCUCGGCUUAACCGAGGAACUGCGUCCGAUACUGAAAGGCUUGAAUCCGGGAGAGGGAUGUGGAAUUCCAGGUGUAGCGGUGAAAUGCGUAGAUAUCUGGAGGAACACCGGUGGCGAAGGCGGCAUCCUGGACCGGUAUUGACGCUGAGGAGCGAAAGCUAGGGGGGCAAACGGGG
rnacentral:rRNA from 1 species